CCUACGGGAGGCAGCAGUGGGGAAUUUUGGACAAUGGGCGCAAGCCUGAUCCAGCCAUGCCGCGUGCGGGAAGAAGGCCUUCGGGUUGUAAACCGCUUUUGCCAGGGAAGAAAAGGUUCUGGCUAAUACCUGGGACUCAUGACGGUACCUGAAGAAUAAGCACCGGCUAACUACGUGCCAGCAGCCGCGGUAAUACGUAGGGUGCAAGCGUUAAUCGGAAUUACUGGGCGUAAAGCGUGCGCAGGCGGUUAUGCAAGACAGAGGUGAAAUCCCCGGGCUCAACCUGGGAACUGCCUUUGUGACUGCAUAGCUAGAGUACGGUAGAGGGGGAUGGGAAUUCCGCGUGUAGCAGUGAAAUGCGUAGAUAUGCGGAGGAACACCGAUGGCGAAGGCAAUCCCCUGGACCUGUACUGACGCUCAUGCACGAAAGCGUGGGGAGGCAAACAGGAUUAGAUACCCUGGUAGUCCACGCCCUAAACGAUGUCAACUGGUUGUUGGGAGGGUUUCUUCUCAGUAACGUAGCUAACGCGUGAAGUUGACCGCCUGGGGAGUACGGCCGCAAGGUUGAAACUCAAAGGAAUUGACGG
rnacentral:rRNA from 1 species